GUGGGGAAUCUUCCGCAAUGGACGAAAGUCUGACGGAGCGACGCCGCGUGAGUGAAGAAAUCCUUCGGGAUGUAAAGCCCUGUUGUAUGGGAAGAGCGGAAGACGGUACCAUACGAGGAAGCCCCGGCAAACUACGUGCCAGCAGCCGCGGUAAUACGUAGGGGGCAAGCGUUGCUCGGAAUCACUGGGCGUAAAGCGCACGUAGGCGGCUUUCUAAGUCAGGGGUGAAAUCCUGGAGCUCAACUCCAGAACUGCCUGUGAUCCUGGAGAGCUUGAGUUCGGGAGAGGUGAGUGGAACUGCGAGUGUAGAGGUGAAAUUCGUAGAUAUUCGCAAGAACACCAGUGGCGAAGGCGGCUCACUGGCCCGAUACUGACGCUGAGGUGCGAAAGCGUGGGGAGCAAACAGGAUUAGAUACCCGAGUAGUCC
rnacentral:rRNA from 1 species